CAGUGAGACUACGAGCUCGAGUUGUGAUAAACACAGCAAGUGGAAAGUCACUUUAUUAAACCAUAAAUGUUCACCACAAAUCACAGCUAAAUUAGCCCUUGGCAGAAGCUGAGCAGAAGCCUGGCCUGGCUUUUUAACUCCACAAGGAAGCAAAAAGGAACACAUGACUCAAUCACCUGGAAGGGAGGUUCUGCUUCCUGCUUCGUGGGACUGUUCACAGCUGAACAGAUGUCAGGUGGGGCAGGUUUAUUCUCUAGCUGCUCUGUAGAUGAUGGUAACCACCAUUCCUGUCUGGUAAUGCAUGCUAAAAUAUAACCUUGUGUCCUAAUCAACCCAGGGCUUAGCCUGUAUUUCCAGUCCCCAUACUGUGCCCAUGGCAGGCAUCACCAAUCAACUGCUGUGCUCUCCUGCUGAGCCCCUGCUAAGAGUUCUUCUGAUCGCAUCCUCCUAGAUGGCUG
rnacentral:lncRNA from 1 species